GCAUCUCAGACAGACAUGCGUGACAGUAUCCUCAUUGGAUAAAAGAAGUCCUUUAUUCCUUACAUGGAGGUAAAGAUUCUUGCAAGGUGCUGUGGAAGCAGUCCAAUGUGUGAUAACUGUGCCAUGCUGGUGUCAGUGGAAGAAUCAUCUGGAAAGCUGUAUUGGGUCAAGUCUUGUCUUGUGUGUCUAAAGGCAUUAAGGGCUGUGUUGGAUUGGAUUUUGGAACUCAUCUGUCAAAGGGGAACAUGCUGCUCAUUGGAGCUUCUGCUGGAGGACAGGGAUGGCUUUGCGUGGGAGCGCAGUUUAUAGAGGCUAAACUGAAUCUGACUCCUUGAAGGACUCUCAGAACUGGAUGCCAACACAAAAUGGGAGGAUCAUCAAUGGAACCAGCAUCUUGGGAGAAGAGACUGGCCAUACAUCAGUCAUUGAAAUGGCUUCAUCUUGGAUUUCUCAGCCUUGUAAACUAUGGAAGGUAAACCUCAGUU